UCCUUCAGGAGCUGGCCCGUUAAAACAAUCCAGGAGUGUGUCACCCGCAGCUCAGGCCCUGCACCUCGUCUUCAAACUGAUGUCACCUCAUAAAUCCACAGGCACAGCCUGGACCCAUCAGCAGGCUGCUUUUUCUGGAGAUUCAUUAUUUGUUCAGACAGGGGUCAGGUGGAGGGUUUUUUUUUUUUUUUUUUUAAAGAUUCCUUUAGUAUUGGCCCCCUCCCCCUCUUCAGCUGAAAAUGGAAUCUGCUGUGACUGAGGCGUGUGGCUGGGCCGAAGAAAGGAGUGCUGUACGAGAAAGAAAGAAAAAAAAAAGCCAGCUAUCUGAGUCAGAAAGGAGGAGGAAUGUAAGCCAUGGAUCGUGGGUGUCUAAAAAUCGCUUCUCACAGAGAAGGUGAAAAGGGCCACUGGUUCUUCUCACCAGCCACUGACCACUGAGUUCUGUGGUUGCAGAAGUCCCACGGCCCUGAUUUCAGGCGCAACAGGAAGACACCGACCAUGGAGCUGGAAGGGCAUGUGAAUACUGGGCUCUUCUGAGCUGGUGUGAGCCGGCUCCAGCCUGUUCCAGUUGAAAUGAACACUCUGAAAAGGCAACUUAGUUCUUGUGCCCUAGGAUGCUGGCGGCAUAGUUAAGCAGAGCAGGAGCCCUCCGCCAAGGGCGAUUCUUUCUUACCAUCUGUGCCCCUUUAUACAGAUGUACACAAAACGUGAAAUAUCUAACUGUGAAAUAAAAAAUUCCUGAGAUUUGGUAUUCUCAGUUUA